AUUGAACGCUGGCGGCAGGCUUAACACAUGCAAGUCGAGCGGAGCGAGGGUGCUUGCACCUUAGCUUAGCGGCGGACGGGCGAGUAAUGCUUAGGAAUCCGCCUAUUAGUGGGGGACAACAUUCCGAAAGGGAUGCUAAUACCGCAUACGCCCUACGGGGGAAAGCAGGGGAUCUUCGGACCUUGCGCUAAUAGAUGAGCCUAAGUCGGAUUAGCUAGUUGGUGGGGUAAAGGCCUACCAAGGCGACGAUCUGUAGCGGGUCUGAGAGGAUGAUCCGCCACACUGGGACUGGGACACGGCCCAGACUCCUACGGGAGGCAGCAGUGGGGAAUAUUGGACAAUGGGCGGAAGCCUGAUCCAGCCAUGCCGCGUGUGUGAAGAAGGCCUUUUGGUUGUAAAGCACUUUAAGCGAGGAGGAGGCUACUAGUAUUAAUACUACUGGAUAGUGGACGUUACUCGCAGAAUAAGCACCGGCUAACUCUGUGCCAGCCGCCGCAGUAA
rnacentral:rRNA from 1 species